ensembl:lncRNA
GUGCAUAGCUGAUAAAUGCAAUUAUUAACCCAUUUAUCUUUUGGGGGUUAUGGAGGAAACUUUAAUGUGUCAUGGCUUUAAAGUUCCCUUAAAGAUUAUAUAUAAUGCUGUAACCGCAUUUGUUUGUUUGCUUUUUGAUUUUCUUUUGAUCCUAAGAUGCCUCACCUCUGCAAAUAGAAUUGGCCUAUUUCCACGUUACUCUGGACUGUGACUCCUGAGAAAACAAUGCUGAUGACAGAGCUCAUCCGUUAUGGAGAGCUUCAGGAAAUCUGCUGGUAUGCUUACGUUGAUAGACUUUUCUGUGAAGGAUCAAGCCAAUUACCACUUGCAGCAUGCCCAGGUGUCAGCCAGCUGAAGAUCAAAGCGUUCCGGCCUUCUGUUUGAACAUGACUCAUUUUCAUGUCAGCAUGACCACUGGGCAGCUAAUGUGAAUCUGGCAUUUUUGGG